rnacentral:rRNA from 1 species
AGUGAACGCUGGCGGCGUGCUUAACACAUGCAAGUCGAACGAGAACGGGUUAUAGCUUGCUAUAAUUGUCAGCUAAGUGGCGCACGGGUGAGUAAUGUAUAGGUAAUAUGCCUCUUACUAAGGGAUAACAAAUGGAAACGUUUGCUAAUACCUUAUACUCCUUAUUAACAUAAGUUAAUAAGGGAAAGAUUUAUUGGUAAGAGAUUAGCCUGUAUUGUAUCAGUUAGUUGGUGGGGUAAUGGCUUACCAAGACUAUGACACAUAACUGGUUUGAGAGGAGGAUCAGUCACACUGGAGCUGAGACACGGUCCAGACUCCUACGGGAGGCAGCAGUGGGGAAUAUUGCACAAUGGACGAAAGUCUGAUGCAGCAACGCCGCGUGGAGGAUGACACAUUUCGGUGCGUAAACUCCUUUUAUAUGAGAAGAUAAUGACGGUAUUAUAUGAAUAAGCACCGGCUAACUCCGUGCCAGCCGCCGCCGUAA